CAGAGUUCAGGCGACAGGCGAGACGGCAGGGCUUAAAGUUCCGGGAAUCAAAGAUCAACUCCCACUGAGGACAAAUGGACCUGUAAUUCCGGGUGUGACGAGAGAACGAGAUUUACCUUCCUGAAUUAAAAAACAGGUCAUUAAGCUUGGGCCCUGACUCUUCUUUGUGAGAAGGUGCAGAGAUGGAAACCUUACAAUCCAAGACUAAAACGAGGGUCCUUCCCUCAUGGCUGACAGCCCAGGUGGCUACAAAGAAUGUGGCACCAAUGAAGGCCCCCAAGAGGAUGAGAAUGGCAGCAGUGCCAGUGGCAGCAGCAAGGUGCGACAACCCUGGUCAGAAGACUGUUGCGAAUUGAGCAACUAAGAGGUCUUUCUUGGCUCUAUGAGAACCUGGUGGGAUUCCUGAAGAUAAAGUCCAUGAAAAUGAAGCUCCAUACAAGACUAUGGCCACCAGGAGUUUCUCACUUUCAAGCUAGUGCGCACUCAGCCUCUGGCAAUUUGUUAAAAUCACUGUUUAAGUGUUCCUACCAGUUUGUGAUUCUAGCAGCUUCUGCUUCAGACAAGCAGAUCUCAGCAGUGACUCUCUGGAUUUGUCUGUCUCUUCAGAUUUCAGGGUGGUGGUUUACUUGUCAGCCUCAGUUCUCUGAUGGAUCCAAUAAGUUGCUGAUUUUUAGUUUGUUCAGCUUUUUUUUGUUGUAAGGACAGGAAUGUUGACUUUCAAGCAUUAUUCAUGUUGGAGCUAAAACGAGAAGACCCCUUACUAUCUGUUUAAAUAGUAAGUCUAUAUUUUCUUCUAAGAGUAGUUUUAACUCCUACAUUUGUUUCUAUGAUCCAUUUUCUAUUAUUUUUAGUGUAUGGUAUAAGGAACACGGCCAACUUCAUUCUUUUGCAUGUGGAUAUCCAGUUGUCCCAGUACCAUUUGCUGAAAAGACUAUUUUUUUCCCCAUCCAAUUGUCCUGGCAUCUUUGUUGAAAAAUCAAUUGAAAUAUAUAUAAAGGUUUAUUUACAUAUUUUCAAUCCUAUUUCAUUUAUCUAUAUGUUUACCCUUAGGCCAGUACCACAUAGUCUCGAUUACUAUAGCUUAGUUGUCAGUUUUGAAAUCAGGAAUCCUCAAACAUUGUUCUUUAUCAAAAUUGCUUUGGUUAUUCUGGGUCCCUUGUGUUUCCAUAUAAAUUUCAGAUUCGGUUUGUUAGUUUCUGCACAAAAGGUAGCUGAUAUUUUGAUAGGGAUUGCACUGAAUCUGUCAAUUUGAGGAGUAUUGCCAUCUAGCAAUAUUAAAUCUUCUGAUCCAUGACCAGAGUUAUUUUGCCAUUUAUUUAGAGCUUCUUUAAUACAGUUCAACUGUGUUUUUUGUAGUUUUCAGUUUAUAAGUCUUGUACUUCUUUUGUAAAAUUUAUUCCUAAGUAUUUUGUUCUUUCUGAUGCUAAUGUAAAUGGAAUUGUUUUCUUAAUUUCAUUUUUUAAAUGUUCAUUGCUAGUGUAUAGAGGUACAAUUGAUUUUUAUAACAGGUUUUUGAGAUGUAAUUCACAUACCAUACAGUUCAUUCACUACAACUGAUUUUUGCCUAUUGAUCUUUUAUCCUGCGACCGUGUUGAACUCAUUUAUUAGUGCUAAUAGUGUGGCGUGUGUAUGUGUGUGUUCCUUCGGAUUUUCUAUAUACAAGAACAUAUAUCCUACAAAUAGAAAUGGCUUCGCUUUUUUCUUUCUAAUUUGGAUGCGUUUUAUUUUUUUUCUUGCCUUAUUGCCCGGCCUAAGCCUUUAUUAUAAUGUUGAAUAGAAGUGUUGAGAGUGAAUAUCCCUGUCUUGUUCCAGGUCUCAGGGAGAAAAGCAUUUAGUCUUGCACUACCAACUAUGACAUUAGCUGCAGGAUUUUUGAAGAUGGCUUUUUUUUUUUUUUUUUGGUAGAGGAAGAUUCUAUCUUUCCUAAUUUGUUGAGUGUCUCUUUUUUAAUCAUGAAAGAAUGUUGGAUUUUGCCAGAUACUUUUUCUGCAUCUAUUGAGAUGACCAUGUGCCCUUUUCUUUAUAUUCUAUUAACAUGGUAUAUUAUAUUGUUUAAUUUUCAUAAUUUCAUAUGCUAAACUAACCUUGAAUUUCUGGGAUAAAUCCUAUUUGGUCAUUGUGUAUAAUCCCUUUUGGUUUGCUAGUAUUUUGUCUUACUUUUUCAUUCUAAUUCUUAAUAGAUAUAGAAGUUGGUUAAAAAAAAAGUUCCAUUUAUUUGGCCCCUGAAAUCUUAACAAUUACCUUUUCUGAGAAACCUUUUCUGAUUUGCUCCUACCCACAAACAACUCCGAUGUAACCCCAUAACACAAUAAGUAGCAUUUGUUUCAUAUUACUAUGUCUAUUUACUUGUCACCCACUCUGCUAUAUUUUAUUUCCCAUUGUACCCAAGUAUCUAGCACAACCACUUACUAUUACAAGUUGGGACUUCUGGGAAGCAGAGAAACAUCAGAUUUUUAAAAGAACAUGAACAACAAUGGAAAGAUUAUGUAACAAAGGUUGAAUAUAAGAGAGUGCAUAAACCAUAGAAUAGUUUCAGGAUGAUUAAACCUCAAAUAAACUAAGAUUUGAAAAAAA
rnacentral:sRNA from 1 species